rnacentral:rRNA from 1 species
UACGUAGGUGACCAGCGUUGUCCGGAUUUACUGGGCGUAAAGAGCGCGCAGGCGGUCGUUCAAGUCGAGUGUGAAAGCCCCCGGCUCAACUGGGGAGGGUCACUCGAUACUGAUCGACUUGAAGGCAGGAGAGGGAAGCGGAAUUCCCGGUGUAGUGGUGAAAUGCGUAGAUAUCGGGAGGAACACCAGUGGCGAAGGCGGCUUCCUGGCCUGUUCUUGACGCUGAGGAGCGAAAGUGUGGGGAGCGAACAGG